rnacentral:rRNA from 1 species
GACGUAGGGUGCAAGCGUUGUCCGGAAUUAUUGGGCGUAAAGAGCUCGUAGGCGGUUUGUCGCGUCGAAUGUGAAAACCCGGGGCUCAACCCCGGGCCUGCAUUCGAUACGGGCAGACUAGAGUUCGGUAGGGGAGUCUGGAAUUCCUGGUGUAGCGGUGAAAUGCGCAGAUAUCAGGAGGAACACCGGUGGCGAAGGCGGGACUCUGGGCCGAUACUGACGCUGAGGAGCGAAAGCGUGGGGAGCAAACAGG